GACGAACGCUGGCGGCGUGCCUAAUACAUGCAAGUAGAACGCUGAAGGAGGAGCUUGCUUCUCUGGAUGAGUUGCGAACGGGUGAGUAACGCGUAGGUAACCUGCCUGGUAGCGGGGGAUAACUAUUGGAAACGAUAGCUAAUACCGCAUAAUAGUAGAUGUCGCAUGACAUUUGCUUAAAAGGUGCAAUUGCAUCACUACCAGAUGGACCUGCGUUGUAUUAGCUAGUUGGUGAGGUAACGGCUCACCAAGGCAACGAUACAUAGCCGACCUGAGAGGGUGAUCGGCCACACUGGGACUGAGACACGGCCCAGACUCCUACGGGAGGCAGCAGUAGGGGAUCUUCGGCAAUGGACGGAAGUCUGACCGAGCAACGCCGCGUGAGUGAAGAAGGUUGUCGGAUCGUAAAGCUCUGUUGUAAGAGAAGAACGAGUGUGAGAGUGGAAAGUUCACACUGUGACGGUAUCUUACCAGAAAGGGACGGCUAACUACGUG
rnacentral:rRNA from 1 species